rnacentral:rRNA from 1 species
AACGAACGCUGGCGGCAUGCCUAACACAUGCAAGUCGAACGAGACCUUCGGGUCUGGUGGCGCACGGGUGCGUAACGCGUGGGAAUCUGCCCUUUGGUUCGGAAUAACAGUUAGAAAUGACUGCUAAUACCGGAUGAUGACUUCGGUCCAAAGAUUUAUCGCCAGAGGAUGAGCCCGCGUAGGAUUAGGUAGUUGGUGGGGUAAAGGCCUACCAAGCCGACGAUCCUUAGCUGGUCUGAGAGGAUGAUCAGCCACACUGGGACUGAGACACGGCCCAGACUCCUACGGGAGGCAGCAGUGGGGAAUAUUGGACAAUGGGCGCAAGCCUGAUCCAGCAAUGCCGCGUGAGUGAUGAAGGCCUUCGGGUCGUAAAGCUCUUUUACCAGGGAUGAUAAUGACAGUACCUGGAGAAUAAGCUCCGGCUAACUCCGUGCCAGCAGCCGCGGUAAAAC